UACCUGCCAACGUACCAGUACUUUCUAUGGAGGUAUUAUAAUAAUUUUGAUCUGUUCUUGAAGAUGGUCUUGUGCAAACAAUUGGUGAGUUUUGUUGUGAAAACAAUAAUAAUAAGUGAAUACUUUAUUAAAGCGAAUAGUAAUAUACAGAUAUAUAAUGUGAUUGGGAUUCCAUUUCAUCACUUGUCACAAGUUGGUCAAUGUAUUUUCAAGCCUUGAAACUUGUUUAACAACAUUUAAAUCUAUUCUUAACAACCUUGUUUCCUGACUUCAUCUGAACUCGAUCAAAAAGUACUAAGAAGUUUCAAAAGCUCAAGAUUGUCAAAAUUGGGCCAGUUUGCAGAAUUCUGAAGUGGGAGGAUGCAACUACUGUAGAUGUGAAAAAAAGGAGGCGAUUGAAUACUUUCUUAAUAACCUUUGUGAAAAGUAUGAGGGAAAAAGGCAUUCGUACUUCUGUUUAUGAUUCAUGGUGAAACUAUUGACGAUUCUCAUUGAUACACUCUUGCAUGGACCCUAUCAAUUUGAGGAUAUUCAUAAUCUGUAAAAACGUUAAAUAUGUGAUAUUCCCAAUGCGAUAAAAAUGAUGGAAUAUUCUUACUUUCCAAGGAGCUGGAGAAAUUGAAUUGUAUAGUUAUUAAGGGAC